GAUGAACGCUGGCGGCGUGCCUAAUACAUGCAAGUCGAGCGAAUGGAUUGAGAGCUUGCUCUCAAGAAGUUAGCGGCGGACGGGUGAGUAACACGUGGGUAACCUGCCCAUAAGACUGGGAUAACUCCGGGAAACCGGGGCUAAUACCGGAUAAUAUUUUGAACUGCAUGGUUCGAAAUUGAAAGGCGGCUUCGGCUGUCACUUAUGGAUGGACCCGCGUCGCAUUAGCUAGUUGGUGAGGUAACGGCUCACCAAGGCAACGAUGCGUAGCCGACCGUGGAGGGUGAUCGGCCACACUGGGACUGAGACACGGCCCAGACUCCUACGGGAAGCAGCAGUAGGGAAUCUUCCGCAAUGGACGAAAGUCUGACGGAGCAACGCCGCGUGAGUGAUGAAGGCUUUCGGGUCGUAAAACUCUGUUGUUAGGGAAGAACAAGUGCUAGUUGAAUAAGCUGGCACCUUGACGGUACCUAACCAGAAAGCCACGGCUAACUACGUGCCAGCCGCCGCGGUAA
rnacentral:rRNA from 1 species